GUGAAUACGCGUGGGAAACUAUCUNUAUGGGGGAUACGGUCCGAAGGAUGUUAUACCGUGAAACCAUGGAUGGUUUGCUGUGAACCCGGGGACGAAAGGCUGGGGCAGGAGAGGUCUGCGUCUGAUAGCUAUUGCGGGUACGGCCACAGCAUCGAUCAGUAGCCGGCCUGAGAGGGUGAUCGGCCACACUGGAACUGAGACACGGUCCAGACUCCUACGGGAGGCAGCAGUGGGGAAUUUUGCGCAAUGGGCGAGAGCCUGACGCAGCAACGCCGCGUGGGUGAUGAAGGUCUUCGGAUCGUAAAACCCUGUCGUCAGGGACGAAGGUUGCGAGUUUAAAAAAUGCGCAACUUGACGGUACUGGAGAGGAAGCCCCGGCUACUCUGUGCACAGCCGGGUAUACAGAGGGCAGCGUAUCGAAUAUGGGCGUAAAGGGGCGCGUAGGCGGUUUCUUAAGUGAGAUGUGUAAUCCCCGGGCUUAACCUGGGAACUGGCAUCUCAUACUGGGGAGGCUAAGUACUGGAAGGGUGGUUAAAUUCCCCGUUUUAGGUAAAUGCGUUAAAAAUUUGAGGAUUACCUGGCAAAGGCGGGCCACCUGGA
rnacentral:rRNA from 1 species